CCUCCAUGCCCAUAACAGCCCAGGGCAGCACAGAUAAUAGACAUGAACAAGGUUUCUGGUGGCAGCACGGAUGAUGGACAUCACCAUCGUUUCCAGCAGCAGGGUAUAGCUGGAUCUUGAGAUGUGGUCAGCUGGUGCUGAAGAAUCAACUGUGAUUAAGAAGAGACCAACAUCAUUGAAGCAAAGUCUUCUAGGAAGUGCUUCCUCAGGAUCAGCAAACAGAAGCUGAGUUCCAGAGGCGGCCAAGUUUGUUCCUCAUACUGACAGCUGAACUUGGUAGUCUAAGAAUCACCUGGGUGGUGCUGGUUCUGAAGGCACGAGUGCUCAUGAAGAGCAGACUAUUGGUGAAGGUUCAGCCCAGUUACAGCAAGGGGUCACAGCAGUUUUGGAGAUGCUGGAACCACGGGAUAACCACUGAGAACAGCAGCAGCAGGGGACAGGAGCCAGCUGAAGCUUAGAAGACAAGCUGUGUGUACUUCCAGAGGGCGGGGCCCAAGAAAUGACCCAAGCCCCUUGGAAGAGCCCAAAAGAUGGAACCUGACUCAUAUAACAUUGCGAGAAGCCAGUGAGUUAUGUAUGGAUGGGUGUGGAAAAUGAAAAUGUAGCCUGGAACUUCUCUGUGAGUCAGAGACUACUCUGCAAGAUUGGAAUGUGACUCCGCCCAUCACCUUCUGGUUUGUGGAUGAUACCUUCAAGAGUUAGAAGAAAGAAUUCCUGGCCCGGAUCUACUACCAGGCUGCAAAAGUUCUAAGAUACUUUAACCUUUCAUUUCUUGGGUGACUCUGGAAUUGUGUUUAAUUCUUUACAGCACAUUUGCACAGUCCUAGAACUGCCAAGGUGAUACACAUUUAUACUUAAGCUGUUUUUAUUAGAAACAUAACUUACAAACAUACUUCUCCUGUAUAGUUGUUUAGGCUGUUAUGAUUUCAUAUACUUUGUUAUAGAAUUAUGACUUACUUUUACCUAGCAUAGAUAAUUUCUUUUCAAUUCAACUUCCAGUUCAAGUCUAGGUAACAGCUUCCUUAGGGUGUCUCAUGUGUAAACAGUUGGACUUCUCAUCUGCUCAAAUGCCUGGAAUUAUUACCACCUUCUCUAAAACUUGGCCAUAGGCAAAAUCUUUGAAUAAUGUAUUCGCAUUUGGCAUGCAAACUCAAAAUCCGAGAAUUGAAGAUAGUCUUUUAAAACCGACAUAGUACUACAAGAACUUCAAACUAGCAACUUAAAAAAAAAAAAACAAAACCAAAUGUGUUCUUCCAGUAUAUCAUUAACCUAAAUAUUCAAGACAUUAGAGAUUUAUUAUAACCAUUCCUAGGAUAAUUGAUGGCCCAUUUACUGUCUUUCUUAUCCGUAGAGUUUGCUUUGAUAGUGCUCUGCUAACAAUACCUUUUUAGUAUUUUUCUCUUAUUAAUUUUUAAUGAGUUUCAUUAUGACAUUUUUAUACAAAUGAAUAAUUAUACCUUUUACAUUAUAGUUAUUGAAGAAAUUGAAAUAUAUUUUUUGUAAUGAGUUUAAUUACGACAUUUUCAUGAAAAUGACUUACACUUUUUACAUUACAAUUUUCUGAAGACAUUAAAAUAUGAAAAAGAAAUCUGGUUUUUAUAAAGUGAACUCUCAGGGAGUAUUAUCUCCAACAGUAUAGAUUAAACCCACAGUAAUACAGCAUUUGCCCCAUAAAAAUGUUGAUGUCACAGAGUCAAAAGAAGGCCAAUAAGACUUGAGAAAAGUAGCAUUUUUAAAACUUCUUAGGCUAUAAAUCUCUAUUGGAAAGAAGUCAGAAAUAUUAUUCUCUCAUAAACCUGAAGAUAAAUAUGACAGAAUGUUUUGUUAAAAAUUCACUUGCUGAGCUGGGCAGUGGUGACACUCUGUUUUAAUAUCAGAACUCAGGAGGCAGAGGCAGGAGGAUCUCUGGAUUCAAGGCAAGGCUGUUCUACAGAGUUAGUCCCAGAACAGUCAGGACUACAAACGGAAACCCUGUCUUGAAAAACCAAGAAAAGGAAACAAACGAACGAACAAACAAACAAAUAGCCCCCCCAACUCAGUUGCUUACACUGCUGUUAGAACGUCUGUAGGAGAUAAGUAUGUUUUUGCUUGUGUUUCUGUUUUUCUUUUGUAUUCUGUCAAAGUUAUAUUUAAUCCAUGGAGAUGAGCUAUCUUUGCUAUCUGAGGCUUUGUUCAUGGCUAUUUCCAUCAAGCCCACUGUUUUCCUGGUUAUACCAUCAUAAACCAAUACUUCUGUUUUAAUAAUUUGCUAAGGCAAGAGUUCUUAUUCUGUAUUUACUUUUCUGUUUUGUUUUGUUUUUGUUUUUGGUGGAACAUUUAGACAGCUGUUCUUAAAGCACAGGGGUUUUCCAAAUGGAUGCAUGUUUGUUGCUCUGCUAAAAUCAUUCACUUUAUAAAGGAAGUACCAUAGUAGCCAAAGUGCCUUUAGUCCCUUCCACAUCCUGAUAUCAAUGAGAAAACCCUUUGUCCAGUUCUACAUUAAAGGCAAACACUGCAUUUUCUUGCAAAUAUUUCAAAGCCAUUUAGUAUACGGCAAGCCCAGGACCUCUUUAAAAAUCAUAAAGAUGUUUUCCUGAGAGAAGUACAUGUGAACAGGAUGAACAAGGUCUAUGGAGUCAGAUGGUUUGGUUUGUACACCCUUUCAAACCAUCAGGGCCAUUGGGCAAUCGCUGAAACUUUCUGAACACCCAAUGUCUUGUGUGCCAUGUGAAAAUUAUGCCUAUUUCAGAGUCUUUGUAAGAUUAGGAGAGAUGAAAUUUGCCUAGCACUCAGACUUUAGGUACCCCCAUUCUUCUUGUCUAUGAUAAUUUUUCCCUUAAGUGAAAGGGAACUGAUCCAUACCAAGUUUCUUCAUGUCUGUGGUUGAAGUAUUCACAUUUUAUAUAUGCAACCUUUUCUUGGCUCAUAAUUUUUCUCAAUUACUUUUGCCCCCCUCCUGCUAUUGGUGACUGCUUUGACAUUUUACACCUAAUUAUUAAAAAAAUUUGCCUUCCAGUUGCAUUAAAAAAACUUAUUUGAUGAUUGAUC